rnacentral:rRNA from 1 species
CCUGCCCACUGAUAAUAUAAAAUUUAAUGGCCGCGGUAUUAAUGACCGUGCAAAGGUAGCAUAAUCAUUAGUCUUUUAAUUGAAGGCUUGUAUGAAUGGUUGAACAAAAGAAAAACUGUCUUCUUAAUAUAAAUUGAAUUUAACUUUUAAGUGAAAAGGCUUAAAUAGUUCAAAGGGACGAUAAGACCCUAUAAAGCUUUAUAUAAAAUAAAUUUUAGAUUGAAGUUUUAAUUGAAAAUUAAGAUUUAUGUUUAUAUUGUGUUGGGGCAACAUAAGUAUAAUUAUAAAUAACUGCUUAGUUUAUAAACAGAUAUGUUUGUAUUAUUUAAAUGAUCCUUAUUUUAAAGAUUUUAAGAUUAAGUUACUUUAGGGAUAACAGCGUAAUUUUUUUAGAGAGUUCAUAUUGAAAAAAAAGUUUGCGACCUCGAUGUUGAAUUAAAAUUUCUAUAUAGUGCAGCUAUUAUAUAAGAAGGUCUGUUCGACCUUUAAUUUUUUACGUGAUCUGAGUU